rnacentral:rRNA from 1 species
UACGGGGGGGGCAAGCGUUGUUCGGAAUUACUGGGCGUAAAGGGCUCGUAGGCGGCCAACUAAGUCAUGCGUGAAAUCCCUCGGCUUAACCGGGGAACUGCGUCUGAUACUGGAUGGCUUGAGUUCGGGAGAGGGAUGCGGAAUUCCUGGUGUAGCGGUGAAAUGCGCAGAUAUCAGGAGGAACACCGGUGGCGAAGGCGGGUCUCUGGGCCGAUACUGACGCUGAGGAGCGAAAGCGUGGGGAGCAAACAGG